UCCACUGAGAUCCAAGAGGAUGAGACAAAGUCCCCAUAUCUCAAUGAAAGAUCGUCAAGGUCACACUGAAGAAGACCAUGUGGGAUGGGAGAGAGACAUAGUGGUCACAUUUGAGAAAGGCCAUCUGACAGAUGGGAGAAGCUGAAAGGGCUGCGGACAGCAGAAGCCUCCCCUGCACCUGCAAAUAGACCAGUGCAGGCAUUGAACAUCUGGGGCAAGACUAGCGUCUCCCAGCAGAUUAGUCUGCAUAUCAAGAACAACUAGACCUUAUAAAAGUCACGAACGUAUGACCUGAAACUGGUCCCGAGGAAACAUCAGAUGGACCACGUUGAGCAUCACACUGCAGAAUGUAGGGCUGCAUUCUUCCAAACUGUUGGGACGAUGAAAGUCAGGGAAAGACUGAGGAAAUGCUCCAAACUGGGGCAGACUGCAAAGAUGUGACAAUUAAAUGCAAUGUGUAACUC
rnacentral:lncRNA from 10 species